UCUUGCUGCUGUGCACAAAAUGUCUGUGAUAAGGAUGCAGAGAGAUGCUGUGGUCACAUCUUCCUUCCUCUGGCUGACAAUGCUCAGAAGAUGAUGCUCUCUUUGGUCUGCAGAGGGAGCAGAUAAUUUCUAAGGAAAAGUGUUUCUUUGAAGAGUUUCAAGAAAAUUUGAAAUCAUAAGUGGAUUGCCCAUCUGUUGAUAGAUCAGGCUUUUCCUCUGGAAGGAGGAAUAAGAAAAGAGGCCUCUACCUAAGAAGCUCUGCUGAUCCUGAAAUAAAACAGAGAAGUUGGAAAACUCAUAUAGAAAAGCCUGCACUGAGUCAUGGCAGAACAGAUAAACAGGAUAUUUAAGCACAUCUGCAGUUGCAUAGGAGGAGCACAGAACUGCUCAGGUGCUUAAGGACCAAAGUGAAAGAAGAGUUAAGGAAGGAGACUGGUGCCUCUGACUGUCUUUGAACUCAGCGCAGUCCUGGGAAAAGUGAGUUGAUG
rnacentral:lncRNA from 1 species